CACGUAGGGCGCAAGCGUUGUCCGGAAUUAUUGGGCGUAAAGAGCUCGUAGGCGGUCUGUUACGUCUGCUGUGAAAACCCGGGGCUUAACCCUGGGCUUGCAGUGGAUACGGGCAGACUAGAGGCAGGUAGGGGAGAAUGGAAUUCCCGGUGUAGCGGUGAAAUGCGCAGAUAUCGGGAGGAACACCGGUGGCGAAGGCGGUUCUCUGGGCCUGACCUGACGCUCAGGUGCGAAAGCUAGGGGAGCGAACAGG
rnacentral:rRNA from 1 species